rnacentral:rRNA from 1 species
AGUGGGUAGUCCGCACGAGCGCACCUCGUUCUAUGUUGCCAGCACGUGAUGGUGGGGACUCAUAGGAGACUGCCGGGGUCAACUCGGAGGAAGGUGGGGAUGACGUCAAAUCAUCAUGCCCCUUACGUCUUGGGCUUCACGCAUGCUACAAUGGCCAGCACAAAGGGCUGCGAUACCGCGAGGUGGAGCGAAUCCCAAAAAGCUGGUCUCAGUUCGGAUUGGGGUCUGCAACUCGACCCCAUGAAGUUGGAGUCGCUAGUAAUCGCAGAUCAGCAACGCUGCGGUGAAUACGUUCCCGGGCCUUGUACACACCGCCCGUCAAGUCACGGAAGUCGGUAACACCCGAAGCCGGUGGCCUAACCCCUUGUGGGAAGGAGCCGUCGAAGGUGGGACUGGUAACUGGGACUAAGUCGUAACAAGGUAGCCGUACCGGAAGGUGCGGCUGGAUCACCUCCUUUCU